AUUGAACGCUGGCGGCAGGCCUAACACAUGCAAGUCGAACGAGUGGCGGACGGGUGAGUAAUGUCUGGGAAACUGCCUGAUGGAGGGGGCUAACUACUGGAAACGGUCGCUAAUACCGCAUACCAUCAGAUGUGCCCAGAUGGGAUUAGCUAGUUGGUGGGGGAACGGCUCACAAAGGCGACGAUCACUAGCUGGUCUGAGAGGAUGACCAGCCAAACUGGAACGGAGAAACGGUCCAGACUCCUACGGGAGGCAGCAGUGGGGAAUAUUGCACAAUGGGCGCAAGCCUGAGGCAGCCAUGCCGCGUGGAUGAAGAAGGCCUUCGGGUUGUAAAGUACGUUCAGCGGGGAGGCGUUACCCGCAGAAGAAGCACCGGCUAACUCCGUGCCAGCCGCCGCGGUAAUAC
rnacentral:rRNA from 1 species